ACAGGGGACUCACCAGGAUGAGCAGCACCUUAGCUAAGAUCGGGGAGAGAGAAGCUGAGAUGGCUCGGACUCAAAAGAACAAGGCCACAGCACACCACCUAGGGCUGCUUAAGGCUCAUCUUGCUAAGCUUUGUCGAGAACUCAUUACUCCAAAGGGUGGUGGUGGUGGUGGAGGUCCAGGAGAAGGUUUUGAUGUGGCCAAGACAGGUGAUGCUCGAAUUGGAUUUGUUAGUUUUCCAUCUGUGGGGAAGUCAACACUGCUUAGUAACCUGGCAGGGGUGUAUUCUGAGGUAGCAGCCUAUGAAUUCACUCCUCUGACCACCAUGCCUGGUGUCAUUAGAUACAAAAGUGCCAAGAUCCAGCUCCUGGAUCUCCCAGGUAUCAUUGAAGGUGCCAAGGAUGGGAAAGGUAGAGGUCGUCAAGUCAUUGCAGUGGUCUGAACCUGUAACUUGAUCCUGAUUGUUUUGGGUGUCCUGAAACCCUUGGGACAUAAGAGGAUAAUUGAAAAUGAACUGGAAGUCUUUGGCAUUCGCUUGAACAGCAAACCCCCCAACAUUGGCUUUAAGAAGAAGGACAAGGGAGGCAUUAAUCUCACAGCCACUUGCCCCCAGAGUGAGCUGGAUGCUGAAACUGUGAAAAGCAUUCUGGCCGAAUACAAGAUUCAUAAUGCCGAUGUGACUCUACGUAAUAAUGCUACAGCUGAUGACCUCAUUGAUGUGGUGGAAGGAAACAGAGUUUAUAUCCCCUGUAUCUAUCUGUUAAAUAAGAUUGACCAAAUCUCCAUUGAGGAAUUGGAUAUCAUCUAUAAGGUGCCUCACUGUGUACCCAUCUCUGUCCAUCACCGUUGGAAUUUUGAUGACCUACUAGAAAAGAUGUGGGAUUAUCUGAAACUAGUGAGAAUUUAUACCAAACCCAAAGGCCAGUUACCAGAUUAUACAUCCCCAGUGCUGCUUCCUUACCCCAGGACCACAGUGGAGGAUUUCUGCAUGAAGAUUCACAACAAUCUCAUCAAAUAAUUUAAAUAUGCUCUGGCCUGGGGUCUCUCUGUGAAACACAAAUCCUCAGAAAGUGGGUAAAGACUAUAUGUUGGAGGAUGAGGAUGUCAUUCAAAUUGUGAAGAAGUGAAACUUUCCCCCUUUCCCAUCUGCCGGGCGAACCACAACAGCCUUCCCCAUGAUCAAGCACCCUACACCAGUUCUUUCUGGCUUUGACAGUCACUGGAUCAGGAUCCAGGGGAGGGAGAUGGAGGCACCCAAACUGGAACUUCAUUUGUCUUACCUUGGUGUCACUGUGUAUGUUGAACUGCAUAAAAGACCUGGUAGGCUGGUCAGCUACAU